rnacentral:rRNA from 1 species
CAAUUGGUGGGUUUGAUCCUGGCUCAGGAUAAACGCUGGCGGCGUGCUUAACACAUGCAAAUCGUGCGAGAAAGUCACCUUCGGGUGAUUAGUAAAGCGGUGGACGGGUGAGUAAUGUAUGAGCAACCUACCCUAAGAGGGAAAUAACUCCGAGAAAUUGGACUUAAUGUCCCAUAAUCUUUUCUUUCUUUAUGUUUGAAAAGCAAAGCAGGCCUCUAUUUAUAAGCUUGCGCUUAGGAAUGGGCUCAUAUCCUAUCAGUUUGUUGGUGAGGUAAUGGCUUACCAAGACUAAGACGGGUAGCCGGCCUGAGAGGGUGUACGGCCACACUGGAACUGAGACACGCUCCAGACUCCUACGGGAGGCAGCAGUGGGGAAUAUUGGGCAAUGGGCGAAAGCCUGACCCAGCGACGCCGCGUGAAGGAUGAAGGCUUACGGGUCGUAAACUUCUUUUAUUCCAGACGAAUCCCGCUCUAAUAAUAUUAGUGCGGGGUGACUGUACGGGAUGAAUAAGCCCCGGCUAACUCCGUGCCAGCAGCCGCGGUAAUACGGAGGGGGCAAGCGUUAUCCGGAUUUAUUGGGCGUAAAGGGUGUGUAGGUGGUUUGAAAAGUCAAAUGUGAAAUCCCUUUGCUUAACAAAGGAAUUGCAUUUGAAACUUCUAAACUGGAGUUUGGGAGAGGAAAACGGAAUUUUCGGUGUAGCGGUGAAAUGCGUAGAUAUCGAAAAGAACGCCAGUGGCGAAAGCGGUUUUCCAGUCCAAUACUGACACUGAAACACGAAAGCUAGGGGAGCAAACAGGAUUAGAUACCCUGGUAGUCCUAGCCGUAAACGAUGGAUACUAGGUGUGUUCCGCUUUGCGGAGUGUGCCAAAGCUAACGCGUUAAGUAUCCCGCCUGGGGAGUACGGUCGCAAGACUGAAACUCAAAGGAAUUGACGGGGAUCCGCACAAGCGGUGGAGCGCGUGGCUCAAUUCGAUGAUAAACGAAAAACCUUACCUGGACUUGACAUGCUGGAAGUAGAAACUUGAAAGAGCUUUCGAUUGG